rnacentral:rRNA from 1 species
AGGACUAACGCUGGCGGCGUGCCUAACACAUGCAAGUCGAACGAGGUAGCAAUACCUAGUGGCAGACGGGUGAGUAACGCGUGGUCAACCUACCUCUUAGUGGGGGAUAACUAGCCGAAAGGUUAGCUAAUACCGCAUACGGUCGUCGCGAGGCAUCUCGUGACGAUGAAAGGAGCAAUUCGCUAAGAGAGGGGACUGCGUCCCAUUAGUUAGUUGGUGGGGUAAUGGCCUACCAAGACUCCGAUGGGUAGCUGGCUUGAGAGAGCGACCAGCCACACUGGAACUGAGACACGGUCCAGACUCCUACGGGAGGCAGCAGUGAGGAAUUUUCCGCAAUGGGCGCAAGCCUGACGGAGCGACGCCGCGUGUGGGAAGAAGGCCUUCGGGUCGUAAACCACUGUCGAAGGGGACGAUAUUGACGGUACCCUUGGAGGAAGCCCCGGCUAACUACGCGCCAGCAGCCGC